ensembl:lncRNA
AAACAAUAUGCAUAACGCGGCCACGGGUAAAAAACGAAAAGAAAAGGGCGGGUCUGAGAAGGCGAGAGAAAAAAAAUGCGGAAUUUAGAUACUGAAGCCGCUAAAUGUCGCAAAUUAACUGAAAUAUUUAGCCAGCCAGCAGCAGCACCUCGCAGUUAAAUAUUAGGAGCAGACCCAGCAGUGAAGAAGUGAGCCAGACAGCUAUGCAGCAACAUGCCACCAGUGAUGAUGAGGGACAGAAAGAUGAGCUGGUUCCACAGGCAGAUACAGGGCAAGUUGAGCUUAGACCAAGAGCAGAGAAAGACACCCGCAC